rnacentral:rRNA from 1 species
UAACUGAAGAGUUUGAUCAUGGCUCAGAUUGAACGCUGGCGGCAGGCUUAACACAUGCAAGUCGAGCGGGGGAAGGUAGCUUGCUACUGGACCUAGCGGCGGACGGGUGAGUAAUGCUUAGGAAUCUGCCUAUUAGUGGGGGACAACAUCUCGAAAGGGAUGCUAAUACCGCAUACGUCCUACGGGAGAAAGCAGGGGAUCUUCGGACCUUGCGCUAAUAGAUGAGCCUAAGUCGGAUUAGCUAGUUGGUGGGGUAAAGGCCUACCAAGGCGACGAUCUGUAGCGGGUCUGAGAGGAUGAUCCGCCACACUGGGACUGAGACACGGCCCAGACUCCUACGGGAGGCAGCAGUGGGGAAUAUUGGACAAUGGGGGGAACCCUGAUCCAGCCAUGCCGCGUGUGUGAAGAAGGCCUUAUGGUUGUAAAGCACUUUAAGCGAGGAGGAGGCUACU